GGCGAGGGGAGUGAAAAAGAACCUGAAACCGUGUACGUACAAGCAGUGGGAGCACAGAGCAAUCUGUGUGACUGCGUACCUUUUGUAUAAUGGGUCAGCGACUUAUAUUCUGUAGCAAGGUUAACCGAAUAGGGGAGCCGAAGGGAAACCGAGUCUUAACUGGGCGUUAAGUUGCAGGGUAUAGACCCGAAACCCGGUGAUCUAGCCAUGGGCAGGUUGAAGGUUGGGUAACACUAACUGGAGGACCGAACCGACUAAUGUUGAAAAAUUAGCGGAUGACUUGUGGCUGGGGGUGAAAGGCCAAUCAAACCGGGAGAUAGCUGGUUCUCCCCGAAAGCUAUUUAGGUAGCGCCUCGUGAAUUCAUCUCCGGGGGUAGAGCACUGUUUCGGCAAGGGGGUCAUCCCGACUUACCAACCCGAUGCAAACUGCGAAUACCGGAGAAUGUUAUCACGGGAGACACACGGCGGGUGCUAACGUCCGUCGUGAAGAGGGAAACAACCCAGACCGCCAGCUAAGGUCCCAAAGUCAUGGUUAAGUGGGAAACGAUGUGGGAAGGCCCAGACAGCCAGGAUGUUGGCUUAGAAGCAGCCAUCAUUUAAAGAAAGCGUAAUAGCUCACUGGUCGAGUCGGCCUGCGCGGAAGAUGUAACGGGGCUAAACCAUGCAC
rnacentral:rRNA from 1 species